rnacentral:rRNA from 1 species
GAAUUUAAUAUUUUUGUAUAAAUUGUUUAUAAAAAUUUAUAGAAAAAUAUUUUAUUGGGAGGAUAAUUAAAUUUAAAUAACUUUAGUAUAGAAAUAACAUAGAUUAUUGAUAAUUUAAUGAAUAAAUAAGAUUUAAUAGAGAAUUAAUUACCUUAGGGAUAACAGCAUAAUAUUUUUUAGUAGUUCAUAUAUAAAAAAAUGUUUAU